rnacentral:rRNA from 1 species
GACGAAACGCUGGCGGCGUGCCUAAUACAUGCAAGUAGAACGCUGAAGGAAGGAGCUUGCUCUUUCCGGAUGAGUUGCGAACGGGUGAGUAACGCGUAGGUAACCUGCCUGGUAGCGGGGGAUAACUAUUGGAAACGAUAGCUAAUACCGCAUAACAGUAGAUAUCGCAUGAUAGCUGCUUGAAAGGUGCAAUUGCAUCACUACCAGAUGGACCUGCGUUGUAUUAGCUAGUUGGUGAGGUAACGGCUCACCAAGGCAACGAUACAUAGCCGACCUGAGAGGGUGAUCGGCCACACUGGGACUGAGACACGGCCCAGACUCCCACGGGAGGCAGCAGUAGGGAAUCUUCGGCAAUGGACGGAAGUCUGACCGAGCAACGCCGCGUGAGUGAAGAAGGUUUUCGGAUCGUAAAGCUCUGUUGUAAGAGAAGAACGAGUGUGAGAGUGGAAAGUUCACACUGUGACGGUAUCUUACCAGAAAGGGACGGCUAACUACGUGCCAGCAGCCGCGGUAAUACGUAGGUCCCGAGCGUUGUCCGGAUUUAUUGGGCGUAAAGCGAGCGCAGGCGGUUAGAUAAGUCUGAAGUUAAAGGCUGUGGCUUAACCAUAGUACGCUUUGGAAACUGUUUAACUUGAGUGCAAGAGGGGAGAGUGGAAUUCCAUGUGUAGCGGUGAAAUGCGUAGAUAUAUGGAGGAACACCGGUGGCGAAAGCGGCUCUCUGGCUUGUAACUGACGCUGAGGCUCGAAAGCGUGGGGAGCAAACAGG